CAAUCACUUGUCCUUUAAAUGGGGACCUGUAUGAAUGGCACGACGAGGGCUUGACUGUCUCCUCUCUCCAGUCAAUGAAAUUGAUCUCCCCGUGCAGAAGCGGGGAUAAAACCAUAAGACGAGAAGACCCUAUGAAGCUUUAGACGCCAUGACAGAUUAUGUUAAACAACCCUUUUAAAGGAAUAAACCUAGUAACCCCUGUCCAAAUGUCUUUGGUUGGGGCGACCGCGGGGAAAUAAAUAACCCCCAUGUGGACUGAGAGAACUAACUCUCUUACAACCCAGAGCUACAGCUCUAAGUAACAAAAUUUUUGACCUAAAGGAUCCGGCAAUGCCGAUCAACGAACCGAGUUACUCUAGGGAUAACAGCGCAAUCCCCUUUUAGAGUCCC
rnacentral:rRNA from 1 species